rnacentral:lncRNA from 1 species
GCUCAGAUCAAAAUAGAAUGAAAUUCAAAACAGUGUGGCUGUGGCCAUUGACUAACACAUUAUAUUCAUCCAUUGACUGGGACAAUUUACGUGAACGUUUGUCUGUAACGACCACUGUUCACGACGUACCUACGAUAGACAUUUAAACUGUGGGGUCACCAAAGGUUUCUUAACGCCUUUAAUUAUGAAAUGAUUCGAAAAAUUGAUCAGGAAUAACCUUUAUGUUUUGAUUUAUAUAAUUGAUAUAAAUCAAAACAUCGUGUUAUU